rnacentral:rRNA from 1 species
UGUGACUGCACGGCUAGAGUGCGGCAGAGGGGAGUGGAAUUCCGCGUGUAGCAGUGAAAUGCGUAGAUAUGCGGAGGAACACCGAUGGCGAAGGCAGCUCCCUGUGCACUGACGCUCAUGCACGAAAGCGUGGGGAGCAAACAGGAUUAGAUACCCUGGUAGUCCACGCCCUAAACGAUGUCGACUAGUUGUUGGACGGUUCGCUGUUCAGUAACGUUAGCUAACGCGUGAAGUCGACCGCCUGGGGAGUACGGCCGCAAGGGGGAAACUCAAAGGAAUUGACGGGGACCCGCACAAGCGGUGGAUGAUGUGGUUUAAUUCGAUGCAACGCGAAAAACCUUACCUACCCUUGACAUGCCAGGAAUCCUGCAGAGAUGUGGGAGUGCUCGAAAGAGAACCUGGACACAGGUGCUGCAUGGCCGUCGUCAGCUCGUGUCGUGAGAUGUUGGGUUAAGUCCCGCAACGAGCGCAAGGCUUGCCAUUAGUUGCUAGGAAAGGGCACUCUAAUGGGACUGCCGGUGAGUAACCGGAGGAAGGUGGGGAUGACGUCAGGUCCUCAUGGCCCCAA